AUACGGAAGGUCCGGGCGUUAUCCGGAUUUAUUGGGUUUAAAGGGAGCGCAGGCGGAGAUGCAAGCGUGACGUCAAAUUUCGGGGCUCAACCCCGUCUCGCGUCGCGAACUGCGUCCCUUGGUUGCGGGAAGGGGAGGCGGGAAUCGGGGGGUAGCGGGGAAAUGCAUAGAUAUCACGAAGAACUCCGAUCGCGGAGGCAGCCUUCCGGCCGUCAACGACGCUCAUGCUCGAAGGUGCGGGUAUCAAACAGGAUUAGAUGCCCUGGUAGUCCGCACAGUAGACGAUGGACACCCGCGGUUUGGCCUGUAUGGCUGAGCCGCCAAGCGAAAGCGUUAAGUGUCCCACCUGGGGAGAACGCCGGCAACGGUGAAACUCAAAUGAAUUGGCGGGG
rnacentral:rRNA from 1 species